CGCGUAGGCGGAGAUGUAAGUCAGAUGUGAAAGCCCGAAGCUCAACUUCGGAAUAGCAUCCGAAACUACACCUCUCGAGGAUAGGCGGAGAAGGCGGAAUUCCACGUGUAGCGGUGAAAUGCGUAGAUAUGUGGAAGAACACCGGUGGCGAAGGCGGCCUUCUAGCCUACUCCUGACGCUGAGGCGCGAAAGCAAGGGGAGCGAACA
rnacentral:rRNA from 1 species